UACGAAGGGGGCUAGCGUUGCUCGGAAUCACUGGGCGUAAAGCGCACGUAGGCGGCUUUUUAAGUCAGGGGUGAAAUCCUGGAGCUCAACUCCAGAACUGCCUUUGAUACUGGGAAGCUUGAGUCCGGAAGAGGUGAGUGGAACUCCGAGUGUAGAGGUGAAAUUCGUAGAUAUUCGGAAGAACACCAGUGGCGAAGGCGGCUCACUGGUCCGGUACUGACGCUGGGGUGCGAAAGCGUGGGGAGCAAACAGG
rnacentral:rRNA from 1 species